AGGGAAGGGCAGGAGUGGUGGAGGUGGUCCCAAGGCGUGUGUGGCUUCUGGGUUCCCACCUGCAUCAGCAGCACCCUGACCCCCAGCUCAUGCCCUGUGCUCCUCAUAGGUGCUCGCGGUGAGGAUCGAUGACCUGGACCACCUCCCGGAGACCACCACCAUCGACGCCUCCUCCAUUGGCAUCGUCCAGCCUGAGCUGACUCUGGAGCAGGAGGAUUUGGCCGAAGGGAAGCACGGGAAAGCUGCCAAGCGAAGUCACAAGAGAAAGCAGAAGCCAGAAGAGGAGGCGGGUGCUCCGGUGCCCGAGGACGCCACCUUCAGCGAAUACUCAGAGAAAGAGACGGAGUUCACAGGCAGUGUAGGCGACGAGACCAAUUCCGCAGUACAGAGCAUUCAGCAGGUAGUGGUGACCCUGGGUGACCCAAAUGUGACCACACCAUCGAGCUCAGUCGGCUUAACCAACAUC
rnacentral:lncRNA from 1 species